CUACCCACCACCCUUCCUAUCUGUGCACUGAGAGCUGUGUGAAGGUGGAGACCAGCUAUCUCCUGAGAUCCUUUGUCUUUGCAGUGCUUAAAUAUGUUUCCUAUUCUAAGAUUCUCCCAAGAUCUGCAGUAACCUGGAAUAUCAGUUGGGAGUAUGUUCAUACCUGGACGCUGGUAGGAAGCAGAAGUGUAGAAGAAAGUCAGUUAUUCAAGGAAGCAGAGAUAUCUUAUUUUGAACUAUCAUUUUAUAAGCCCUUGAAAGAUAUUUUAAAUAAAAA
rnacentral:lncRNA from 1 species